GACGAACGCUGGCGGCGCGCCUAACACAUGCAAGUCGAACGGAGUCAAGAGGAGCUUGCUUUUCUUGACUUAGUGGCGAACGGGUGAGUAACGCGUGAGUAACCUGCCCUGGAGUGGGGGACAACAGUUGGAAACGACUGCUAAUACCGCAUAAGCCCACGGAUCUGCAUGGAUCUGCGGGAAAAGGAUUUAUUCGCUCUAGGAUGGACUCGCGUCCAAUUAGCUAGUUGGUGAGGUAACGGCCCACCAAGGCGACGAUUGGUAGCCGGACUGAGAGGUUGAACGGCCACAUUGGGACUGAGACACGGCCCAGACUCCUACGGGAGGCAGCAGUGGGGGAUAUUGCACAAUGGGGGAAACCCUGAUGCAGCGACGCCGCGUGGAGGAGAAGGUUUUCGGAUUGUAAACUCCUGUCGUUAGGGACGAUAAUGACGGUACCUAACAAGAAAGCACCAGCUAACUACGUG
rnacentral:rRNA from 1 species